rnacentral:ncRNA from 1 species
AUCAUCAAAAUAAAUGAAUGAAAUGACUUUACAGAGAGUCGACAUGUGGUGAAAGUCGAUAAGUCAACGUGCUGAAAACCUCAAGGUUUUCAAAUAGCAGGGAAACUGCUUUACCAAGCAAAAAGAGACGAUGGAUUCAUCGUGAAUGAGGGUGGUACCGCGUGAGUGACGCCCCUCGU